CGGGCGUCCGGGGGCCGCGGUUGCACCUCGGUGGUGUGUUGUCAGCGGGUGCCAGCGCGUCUCGCUUUCUGUGCUUUCUUGGAUAAUUCUUAGAGUCAACGUAACAGUUUUCCUUGAUAGCAACUGGUCAUGCAACUACACUCUACUGAGCAAGUUCACUUCUGCAGCUAGCCUGAAAAGACAUGUUCCAUGUACCAGGAGGGAGACAUUACCAUGUCUCAGGAUGAUCUUCUGGAGCUGUAUAUUUAACCUUAUGAAAGACCAAGAUUCUCUCGCCUGUUUUCUCUGAAAUCAAUAAGAAGACACGCAGCCCCAUUUAUAUAAGGAGCAGCAAUUCCCAGAGAAAAUAGUGUUUAAGAUGAUGCACAUAACUGACAAAAAUAAAGCAAUUGACCAAGGAAGAGAGAACAUGAGAUGGAACGUAUCAGAAAUGUGAAAGGAAAGGAAGAAAGGAAGAGGAACUGACUGGCAUGUUGUGAAACCUUCUCAAGGUAACUUACCAACAUUUCUAAAAAUUCUGAAAGUGUCAACUGUGGUAUGAGACCCCCAUAAACAAGUCAUUUCCAAGUGAAGGUGUAUGAUGAACUUA